UUGGGCAGAAAAAGGGAAAGAAAGCCAGGAAAGAAUACUUCCCUGUGAACGAAGAUUCCUGGGCACUGACCGACAUGACCAGCAGUGUACCCACCAUCAAUGGUCCGAGCAUGGCUCUGUAAAGGUUCAGCAAGAAGCAGCCAAAGACAGAUUGUGGCCACUUGUCACAUGGAGCUCCAUCAGUUUUGGAAAGGGUGAGGUGGCUGCAUUUCAGUAACAGGUGAAAUGAUAAUGACACGGCUGUAGAAAUGUCCAUUUAUUCAUGCAGUCCAGACUGGACUCCUUUGUCAGCAGAAGAGCACCUGGAUAGACAGGAACAAUGUUUCUACCAUGUAACUGUACUGCUGUAGAUGAAAGCUACUUGCACAGCGAGGUUCCAUUGAAUCUGAAGUGACAUCCCUGAUGUAGUUUUUGGCAGAGACACAGAGAUUCUGGAGGAUGAAACUUAGAAGGUUCAGGAGGCUACUGACCCAUAAAGCCCUCUAUGCUUGCAGGAGUUUAACUAGGAUGUCACUUAAACCUGCAGCCAAAGCACCUCAGGUCACAUCAAUAUCUUUGUUUUAGCCAUCAGAUGAACUUAUAUUAAGGUGUUGGGCUGGAAAUGGGGUGGUGGGGCACAGACCCAUUGAUCUCUUGCGAAGACAUGGGAACAGAGAUGUUGCUUCAAGAUCAGAGUAAGUGAUACCUUUUAACAUCGGUCUCCCUCUAACAAAUUGAUUUCUGCACCUCCUUUUCUUCCAAAGUUCCUUGCACUUUACAAAUGCAGACUGUUCACGCUCCCCCCUCCUCCCCCAAUUUCCCUGCAAAGUCAUAUUUUCUAGGCUAAUUCUCAUGGUUGUCAGAUGGGUGUGUCUUACUCCACCCCAAAAGCUGAUGCUCUCCUGCUCCCUUCCUGGCAGGAUGAAUAAAGUCACGUAGUCUCAAGGAGCAAGAGGAUUUAAUGAUCAUUGUUUCUCAGCCCCUUGAAGCUUGCUCUCUCUGAUCAUGGGGCUGUCUUCCACAGUGCUUUGCUGUGCUGAGAAUGGCCUCCACAGCCACAUCAACCACCUCUGUCUUCCUCUGUUCCCUUGACAAAAUCUCACCUGCUUUCUUCAGCUCUCCAAGAAUCAACUCAGUCUUUCCCAUUCCAACUAAUUAAAUUAUUCCUGUUAUGGUUAAGAAACUAGUGGGAUGACAGUAUUUUUGCUAACCAGGUACCCUGGAACACUGUAGGAUGCCUUUCCUCUCUCCCUGCUU